rnacentral:rRNA from 1 species
GACGAACGCUGGCGGCGUGCCUAAUACAUGCAAGUAGAACGCACAGUUUAUACCGUAGCUUGCUACACCAUAGACUGUGAGUUGCGAACGGGUGAGUAACGCGUAGGUAACCUGCCUGGUAGCGGGGGAUAACUAUUGGAAACGAUAGCUAAUACCGCAUAAUAUUGAUUAUUGCAUGAUAAUUAAUUGAAAGGUGCAAUUGCACCACUACCAGAUGGACCUGCGUUGUAUUAGCUAGUAGGUGAGGUAACGGCUCACCUAGGCGACGAUACAUAGCCGACCUGAGAGGGUGAUCGGCCACACUGGGACUGAGACACGGCCCAGACUCCUACGGGAGGCAGCAGUAGGGAAUCUUCGGCAAUGGACGAAAGUCUGACCGAGCAACGCCGCGUGAGUGAAGAAGGUGUUCGGAUCGUAAAGCUCUGUUGUAAGAGAAGAACGGGUGUGAGAGUGGAAAGUUCACACUGUGACGGUAUCUUACCAGAAAGGGACGGCUAACUACGU